GAUGAACGCUAGCUACAGGCUUAACACAUGCAAGUCGUGGGGCAGCAUGAAGGAAGCUUGCUUCCUUUGAUGGCGACCGGCGCACGGGUGAGUAACGCGUAUCCAACCUUCCCUAUAGUAGAGAAUAGCCCGGCGAAAGUCGAAUUAAUGCUCUAUGUUCUUCUUUGAUGGCAUCUGACGAGAAGCAAAGGUUCACCGCUAUAGGAUGGGGAUGCGUCUGAUUAGCUUGUUGGCGGGGUAACGGCCCACCAAGGCGACGAUCAGUAGGGGUUCUGAGAGGAAGGUCCCCCACAUUGGUACUGAGACACGGACCAAACUCC
rnacentral:rRNA from 1 species